rfam:Ovis aries breed Texel chromosome 3, whole genome shotgun sequence.
UCCCUGGUGGCUCAGACGGUAAAGCAUCUGCCUAUGAUGCAGGAGACCCAGGUUCGAUCCCUGGGUUGGGAA